GGGGAUUUAGCUCAGCGGUAGAGUGCUUGCCUAGCAAGCACAAGGCCCUGGGUUCCAUCCCCAGCGCCG
rnacentral:tRNA from 1 species